ACAUCACAUUGAAACACUAGUUCCCAUAUGAUCACAGAAGUUAAGCAAUGUUAAGCCUGGUUAGUUCCUAAAAGGGGUGACCGCUUGGGAAUAUCAGAUGCU